UACGGCCAUAUCACGUUGAAAAACCGGCUCUUGUCCGAUCACCGAAGUUAAGCAACGUUGAGCCUUGUCAGUACCUAGAUGGGCGACCGAUAGGGAAUAUCAGGUGCUGUAA